GGGCGGGCGGGAAGGGGGGAGUGGGUGUACUCUGAUAAUUGUGGCUGGAGGAUUUAACACUCCCCCUCCCCCUAUACACACAAAGCCCUCCAAAAAGAAGAAGGGGGGGGGGGGGACCCAAACCCAACACUUCACCCUUUGGAAAUUUGUGCUCAGUCUAAACAAUAGGAAGCCCAUAAUGCAGAUUAUAACACUCACUGACUCGAAUCCAUUAUCUGCCCUCCACACUGUCUAUAUAUUGAUUUCCAUAUACUUUCUAUUGCUCUCAAUGACUGAGCAAAGCUCCAGUUAAGAGCCCGCGACACACAGGAGCGCUGCUUGAACUACAUCUCACCAAUACAACCCGGAGCCGGUUGUAAACACGAAAUGCUCCCGCUUUCCCGGUGUAGCUGUGAACAAGCACACUGCCACCCCUCCACCCCCGCGAGGAAGCUGGCGGCCGGGCAGAGCCGGUGCGCUGCCCCGGGGCCCCCUCCCGCCGCGGGGAGCGUGCGGAUCCCCCCCGGAGCCACGGCUAGGUGCGCACGCCCGCGCCCACGGGAGAAAUCCCGGGGCGCCCCGUCCCGAGAGCGCCGGGGCUGCAUGCGGGGAAGGGGGUCUGGGUCCCCUCGGGGCACAGAGCCGGCAUCGCCGGGCGGGCAGAGCUGGGGAGCUCAGCUCCCCGCCCGUGGCCCUCCGCCAGCAGCCCCUCUCCCCGAGACCUCAGCUCUUAAUGAGGGUUGACGGUGGUUUCUUUAACUUUGAGACCCAACAGAGCAGAACUUUCCCAAGGCAGGAUGCUCCGGACGGGCGGGAGGGAAGAGGCGCGGAUGGGGUCCGAAGAUGUCUUGCCGGGCAGUCUCAGCCUGAAGAGGACGCCUUGAGAGGAGGGAUCCUAGAUGCUCAUCUCGGAAGCACAGCAAACAGCCAUUUAUUAAGAUUUCAUGCCAAGCAGCGACAUCCUCCUCGACUGCUUAGCGUUGACAUAAACUUCCAGACGUCGAGCAUAUGCUGUUGCACAGCAUUGUUUACGUGUGGUACCAGAUGUUGCUUUGCAUCCUAUUGUCUGGAGACAAUGUUUAGUUCAGGUUAAAAUAUCUUUACUUAAACUGCUCAGUUGGCCAUUGUGUGAGCAUUAGUGAAGUGUCAUGGAGAGGUAAUGGGAAGUCCGGGGAGGUUAGCUCUCCGAGCAUGGCCAGAAGGUCCCUGGUUCAUGGUGGGGUUACAGCCACCACUGUCAUCUUUUGUUUUCCCUCCUCAGAGAACCCUUGUCCUUCCUCUAAAAGGAUGUGCCCCGCUCUCAUUCCCUUCGGAGUUUUCUCCACCGUUUCAUGAAACGGCCCGAUGUUUGUUUUUCUAGUUCCCCUAAAUCGCCCGAAAGAGGAAAGGAAAGCACGGUCCUGCGUCACCGCCACCCCAGGCCGGGCCGGUCCGGGCGGAGCGGGGCGGCCCCACGCCCCCGCCCGGGGAUGCUGGCGCCGGGGGGAAAUCGGUCCCGGGAGCAGAGUUCACGCUCGAGCCAAGCCGGCGGCUCCCUCCCCCCAAAAUGCCCGGCCGAGCCUCCUUCCCUCCUUCCCUCCCUCCGUCCGUGGCCGGGCGAGCGAAGGGGCGGCAGGGCGAGCGGGCCGGGGCAGCCCCCUCCCGCCUGGAGCCUUUUCUUCCCUUUAACCCCGCAGUUUGGGCCGGCCGCGGCAGCUGACCUGUGGCGAGACUUUUGCUCCGGGAGAGAGGGGAAAAAAACUAUAGACUUUAAUCGGAUUUCUCCCCAAACACUUCUGAGUGAAGAGUAGUACAAAGAAAAUUCACCGUAUAAACAUCCUGCCCAAGAAAGGAAGGUUCGCCCAUACUCCAUCUACAGGAUUUGAGUGACCCUGAACCUUCCAGGCCCUGGAAGAUUUUCUGUCCUCAGGGAAUGUGAGGAAGUGUGGAGACAAAGGGAGAGACUUGAAGUAUUUCUCCAGGAAGAGAAGAUGUAAAUAUUCUUGUAUAUUGGCUGACGGUUUUUAAAGAUUUUGCUAAAUGGUAUGGUUUUAUUACUUCUAAUAGUGGAAAAACAAGUUGUCCUAGGAUCACAGUUGUUAUACAUUUCCUCAGAUUAUCUUAGUUGGAAACCUCAUUUGAGAUAAGACAUUCUUCUUUUCAGCGGUAUAGCUCCUGUUAAGUUAUUAUAGAAUUAAGGGUAUGAUGAUUUUAUUGUUAACAAACAGUAAAAUAUAAUCCAACAUUUUCACCACAUUCAAAAAUGCCGUAGAACUGCUGAUGCAAGUGUGUUAUUCUUGCUUCUAGAUAAAGAACAUCAAAAAAGGUUGUUUAAUAUGAAAAUUCACGUCUCCCAAUUAUAUGUAUUUUCAACAUCUACAGUGUAUUCAGAGUAUUUUGUGUAGCUUCUCUGCUCUGAAAAAUCCAUGGACAAAUUUUCACAGAGGUAAUUAGAUAUAGAUGAUAUAGAUAUAGAUAUAUCUAUUUUUCUUUUAGGUGAAAGUGGCAGCUGAACAAAGCCUGUUCUUUCAACAAAGCAGAAAAGCAGCAGUAUAGGGCCAGAGCUGGAAGCCCUUCUGCUGUAAAUCCACACCAAUCCAACUAAGACCAAGCACUUGUGAAUAUUAAAUUCACACUAGUGUAGCUGAGAGUAGAAAUGGCCUUUGUUUUUGAAACCCUUGGAGUCCGAAGUGAAAAAAAAAACGAGCAGGGUUUAACCUUUAAACCUUUCACUGACCUUUAAGCAGUACUUUGGAUUAUAUCUGCCCUUGUUAAUCUGAAGCCACUUGCAAACAUAACUGGCAUUCCUGUUUUUAAGUAUACUUUAUGUACAUUAUAGACUGCGUCAGCAAUUGAAAAGUUUGGCUCCUGUUCAUUGUGUCUUUAUCAUCUUUUAAAGUGAUGCUUAUCUUAGUAAACAAAAUUUCAUAGUAAGCAGCAACAUGAGAAGUGCUUUGUGUUGAAGUGCAUCAUGUAAGUGAUGGCCAGGCAUAGAUCUGUACUCUUGGAGGUGCAAACCCAUGUGUUGAUCAAGACAUUAAAUUUUGUAGAAUUCCUGUAUUAAUGUAGAACUCAACAAGGACCAGCUUUUUUAGCACCUAUUUCUAUCACAGGUGAGUAGAAACUUCUGCAACAUCUGGCCAGACCUUUAUUUUUUCUUCUUUGGAUUUUCUUUCUUUCACACUAUUCACAUCACUGCUUUGCAUGCACUUUUUUCUCACAUACCUUCCCCAUACAUAUCUUCAUUUUGGUUUAUUAAAUCAAAACUACAGGAACAAAUGACAUAAAAUGAACCAUGAAUUUAUCUUGGACAAGAUCUCACUGUUCUCAUAAUCUAAACAGAGUUUAAUUAACACUAGAAACAUCUACUUGAUAUAAAUAAAAUAGUCUAAAACUGGUGAUUGUAAUUUCCCCUUUUCAUUCACACAAUGAUUGCAGAAUGUCUUGUCAUUCACAUGGAAAUUUUUCUUCUAAGUACAUCUGUCUUUAGUGGAAAAAUGUCAUGGGCAGAGCACAAAUUUAUAGAGGAUGUAUAUGUUUAAGAAAUAGCAGCUAUUUCAUAUUCCAUGUCUGUCAUUUGAAUCAAGAAUUUUCCUGCUGGAUUGUUACCGUAACACAGAAGAACUGAUGCACUGCCCCUUACAUUCAAGCUACUCUUCAAGUGCAGAAAUACUGGCCUUAGAAAUUGACAAAAUUACAAACAAGUUAUUUUGACUUGAAGUAUGAAAUGCUGGAAAUUGCUGUGACAACCUAACACAACAGAGAUAUUCAGGCUGAAUCAGUGUGAGAAACACCAUCGUAGGUUAGAAAGAAAAAUGCAUGGGAUUUGUUUUCCUGUAAAGUUUUAGCAGGACUUGACAUUGUAAAGAUAUUGAGUGUCACAGGCUUUUAAAGAAAUAAAGAGUUGAUAAGCAGAGAGCAAACACUGAAAGGUCUUGUGACGUAGCUGGUGGAAAGCACCUGUAUUUUACGGUGGAUAUUUAUUUGAAUAUGAACAGUAAUCUACAUUUUUUUAUCAUCUCCUCAUCUCUCGCUGUUGCAUGUUGGAGAAUGACUAAGUCUCUGGAGAGGGAUCAGAUCUGUAAAAGUUGUCAGUUGUUAAGACAAGGUAUUCAGUGAAUAAAUGAAUUAUUGUACUGAAGUCCUUUAUUGAAUAUUCUUCCUGUGUCACUGCUUUAGUUAAGUAUCAAGAACACAGGCAUUUAACAAUAUUACUUUAAAUUCAAAAUGCAUUGAAAGUACUGAGAUUCAAUUUGCAAAUGUAACCAAGAAUAAAACAUGUGCCUUGGAUUACAUGUCACUUCUUGGGAUGUUUUGACAUAAGGCAUUUAGAAAAUAGUUUCCUGUGACAGAAAUGAUUAAAAUAAAUUUCAGUUGUCUAUGACUUCUAACAGUCCAGUUCUUGGUUAGUUUGUUCUCUGCAUCACAGCAAGCUCCAUCUGACAUGCUCACUUGCGUAUCAGUGUGGAGGACAACUGCUUAAGGCUAGAGUGCUAUUGUGUUCCUUGUGUGAAUAAUCCUGUUAGCAGCAAGGGAACACAGGCAUGGAAAAAGCAUAAAACGGUCAGAAGUGAGAAAAUAACCUGACUUCUCUUUUCUAGAGAUGACCUGUGCAGUAUUUUUAGACAGAUCUCUUGUGUGGUAGUACCAACAUCUUCAAAGACUCCUCCAUCUUUUUAUCUCCUCUCAGGGGUACCAAAAUCACACCAGGUCUUCUUUGUGUGCUCAGAUGGGCACACUUAGAAAAGUAGAUAAGCAAAUCCAUUCAAUAAUCUGUCCUCUUGAUUUCUAAAAUACUGGUACCAAGAUAGAAAAUAUCAGGAUACACAGGGGGGUACUUUUCUCUGUGUGUUUCAUGAAAACACACUUAGUCUAGAAAUUCAGUACAUAAGGACCAACAGACCAUUGAUCCCAAAGAGCAACCACGUCAUAAUGGAAAAUAUACACCAAAAAUUUACUAUUAAAUCUACUUUUAUUAAAUAUAGUUAAAUUAACUACAGCUUCUCAGUAUAGAAUUUAAGUAUUAUAUAUAGUAUUACAUUAAAAAUUUAAUCCACGUAUACAAUUCCUACAACAGAGUUAUGCUUAAAUUUGCCACUCAUAUUUGUGGGACUUACAGAAAUGCAAGAAUGGCAGUUUUGGGUUUACUAACAAAAUGUCACAAUUAAACUUAUCCAGGAGGGCAGGUAAGACUGCCUGUAACAUCAUAGUAUGUUAUGUUAUGUUAUGUUAUGUUAUGUUAUGUUAUGUUAUGUUAUGUUAUGUUAAUAGUAACAUUCUCAGAACAGCAUGUUUAGUACACUGAUCAUAUUACCUGCCCAUCCAUCUAGGCCAGGCAAAUACUAAAA